ensembl:lncRNA LINC02671 long intergenic non-protein coding RNA 2671
GGGUGGGAGUGACCAGGUGCCGUCCAUCACCCCUUUCUUUGAUUAGGACAGGGAACUCCCUGACCCCUUGCGCUUCCCAAGUGAGGCAAUGCCUCGCCCUGCUUCGGGUCGUGCACGGUGCGCGCACCCACUGACCUGCACCCACUGUCUGGCACUCCCUAGUGAGAUGAACCCGGUACCUCAGAUGGAAAUGCAGAAAUCACCCGUCUUCUGCGUCGCUCAGGCUCGAAAGCACUGUAUUUUAUGGCGAAAUGUUGAAAGCUAUGCUUGAAAUGGAAAUAGGUGCAGUGGAUGAGAUACUGUUUGAUAACAUGAGAAGACCAACAAGAUCAGAACAGAAACCCUCAGGCUACAAAUACAUGGAAAUAGCAAAUAGUGCCACCACGCCCAGCUAAUUUAUUUUGUAUUUUUCGGGGUCUCACCAUCUUGGCCAGGCUGGUCUUGAACUCCUUACCUUGUGAAACACCCACCUUGGCCUCCCAAACUGCUGGGAAUACAGGCAUGAGCCACCACACCGGGCCAAUACAUAGUUUUUUAUAAAGAGAUAUUCGCCUGUGAAAGAAAUUGAAUCCAUGGUUGUCAGAAGUGAAUAGAAAGUUAAAAACCAUUAAUAAGUUAAUAUUUUCAUUAAUUCAACAAAUAUGAUUGAGUACAAUGAGAUCCCAGGCACUAUUCAGGAUUUCCACAGACAUGAAUGAAACAAAAGUCUUCCUAAUGUCAGAGCUAAAGUAAUAAACACAGUACUUUUCAAUAAAAUCACAGGGAUUAUUGGACAAGGAAUGAGUAUUCACACCUAUAUUCUUUUCUUGAAGACAAGAAUGUUCAAGCACACUGAAGAUGAGGAACUAAAACUAAGACAAUGUAAAGAGGUCAAAUCGACUUUCUCUAUAAGCAAAGCAAAAGCAUCAUCAGUCUACCAUGACUCUCAGUGAAUCAAAAGCUAUUUAUCAGAAAAAAAAGUACAUUCGGCCGGGCGUGGUGGCUCACGCCUGUAAUCCCAGCACUUUGGGAGGCCGAGGCAGGUGGAUCACAAGGUCAGGAGAUCAAGACCAACCUGGCUAACACAGUAAAACCCCGUCUCUACUAAAAAUACAAAAAAUUCCCGGGCGUGGUGGCGGUUGCCUGUAGUCCCAGCUACUUGGGAGGCUGAGGCAGGAGAAUGGCAUGAACCCGGGAGGCAGAGCUUCCAGUGAGCCGAGAUUGUGCUACUACGCCCCAGCCUGGGCGAGACUCCGUCUCAAAAAAAAAAAAAAAAAAAAAAAGCAGAAAAAAGUACAUUCAUGGCUUGUAUCUCAGGUAUAUGUGGGCUUUGAUUUUUUAACCAGUCUGGUAAGUUGAUGAAAGAAAUCCCUGCUAAAUAUCAGCUCCCUACAAAAACCAGUGUACUAUCUGUUGACAAUGCAAAGUUAAGUUCAUUAAAAGUACCACAAUAAGAAAGAACUCUACUUUGAAAGAGUCUUAAAAAGGGCAAAUUAUGAAUGAAUGUUUACAUGGUUGUUGAAUCUGAGCUUUGGUUGUCUUUUAAGGGGACUGCUUUUUGAGAUUGGAUAAUUUUGUCACAUAAUCAUUUAGGGUUGUUUGACUUCUUUAAGACAGAAACCUUGAAGUAAUUCUUGGUAAGAAAAUUGUUAGAUUAAUAUUUAAUUGCUCGGAUAGCAAACAAUUUGGUUAGAUAAAUUGGUUUCAUUACUGUCUUAAAUAUUACAGUGAGGGUUUAUAGUCUUAUUCUUGUCCUCUUAAGCAAAAAUUUCCCAGACCAAAGACUCAGCCCUGAUCAUUUGUCAUCCUGAACUAGAGGAUAUAUAAUCGUCAUCUGUGGAGAUGAUCAGUCCAGAUCCGAACUGCUGAUUGAGGAGUGGCCGUUAUGUGUUAUGUUUCUAAUGGUGAUCACUUCAACGUCUAGGAACAUCAGGUUUUCUUAUCCCUUUUCUGGAUGAUCAAUUGUGGUUUUUAAAAUUUUUUUUUAUCUUUUUAGUGGGGCAGCAAAUGUGCAACAGCAUUCAGACUUUGCAGAGCUCAUCUCUAAACAAACCAACAUGACCAGCGUAAAUAUCUAUAUUCAGAGUUCAUAUCCAAUUCUAAGCCAGAAUCCAAGUGUGCCUAAAUUAAAACAGGAGUUGGAUUCAAUCUCCAACCUGAAGAGAACAGAAAUCUACAUAUUACAUUAUUCUAUUAUGAUAGCACAUGUUUCACCUGUUGAGUAUAACUGUCUGCCCAAUCUUAUUAAAUUUUUAUGUGAUGUUUUCUAAAGCUUUAGUGAUAUUUUCUUGAUUCCCUGUCAGUUUUUGAACUGGAUGGUUUCCCCUGUUUUCCAGGCUUUGUGUAAAGGAUAAGGAGGAAGAUGCUUGAAGAAAAAGGAAAGCAAUUCAAAAUUACCUGUGAGUGGUUAAAUUUGUCAGAUAUCAAGUAAACAUGAGGACAGGUGAUUGAUGAUAAAAGGAGCUGGAUAUUGAUCAAGAAAAAAUGUGACAAAUUCCACAUUUGAUUUAAAUGUAUAACCACUUUACAUUUCCUCACUAUCUUUCUUUCAUUGUUAAUGUCCAUAAUUCUAAAAAAUAAAGUUAUAUUGUUA